rnacentral:lncRNA from 1 species
AGCAUCCCCUUUGCAAGAUUGCAUAAAAGAGGGAGCAACAGAGUAUAAACAUAUAUCAUGACUAAAACAUACUAAGUAUUAUUACUCGGCCAGCAAGGAAAGAUAAACAUACGACCUGAACUGAAUUAACCAGUGCGCACGACCAUAUAAAAAAAAUAAACAAACUUCCUUUGACAAAAAGUUUCUAAUUAAAUCAUGGCUGCGCCUGGGCAGCGUUAUUGUGAGAGUGAAAGUGGACGUGCUGCUACUCCCCUCAUUCCCAACAUGUAUCAAGUACCUGCAUUGAGUAAUGCAAGAGUGAGAUGACACAUCUCAGCAAGUAAAAUAAUAUCAAACAGUUUAACCACAUAAGAACAUUGUUUUACCACCACUUGAUUCCACAACCUUCUUAUUACGAAGGUGCAGCACGUAUACAACGUACAACGCACCUAGUUACCACACCUCGCAGGUAGAAACCACAAUAGUAACAUAGUAAUGUCACACUUCAUAUAUUUCCUCAUGAGUGCAAAUGUCUGCAAAUGCAAGGAUGACUUCUGCCUUCAUACCUCUAAGGAUAUGAAGCCGCAUCGUACCCCUCCUCGGGCAACGUACGAUGCUAAAAAUGUACCGGUACGGUCGGACCAUAAGAUCACGACAUCACUUCAAAAUGCAAGAUGGAUGAUGCGAUGUGCAUGUCAUGCCUACAACACUUCAUAUAACAUGAUUCAAAAAGACACUUCAACUUCAUCCAGAUGGGAAUCAACCACAUAUAUCAUUACCAAAUUAUGAUCAUCCACAAUAUUAGACAAUUGAGAAUUAAUACUUCCAAACAAAUAAACUUCAUCAUAGAAUUCAAUGAUUAACAUAAUUAAAACUUAUGCAUACUCAAUGACAGGGAAUAGGAUGCAAACCAAACGGUAGCAACCACCACUGUAUUUACUUGCCUUUACCGGAAGUUCGGGCAAAUCCCUAAGUACGAUCCGGAAGUCCACCACCUGCUUUUCACACCCAGCUUAGUACACCAAUUUCACAUAAUCAGGCCCAUAAGCGACGCCGCACCUACGCACAACUCAAACCCCGCCGCGGGUUACAUCUCUCCCUACACCCACCAAACUGCAGCGGCGCUGCUUAAUAAUUUCAUAACUUUAAAAUUAUGACAGCAGUGGUAACAAACAAAAACUCCAGAGGCAUCUACAUAAAAUUCCCCACAAGUUUUGUAUACAAUUUAUAAUUAAAUUCCAAUAUCUAAUUAGCCCAAAACAGUCCACAAGAUGAACCCUGUAAUCUGUUUUUCUUUGUCUUUUAGACAGCGACAUACCCAGAUUCAAACAGCGAUAUCUUUUAAAAUAUAAUUCCAAAUCAAGCGCAUAAGUACUCAUUGGAAAGAUAAGACAAAUCCCUACAUGAUUACCAUACUGGUUAACACUAAUUACCCACGAAAAAUUCCCAGAAACUGCUAAUACCACUGCUGUUCACCCACCUGAAAAAUCUGUUUUUUUUGGACAGCAACAUAACCGGAUUCAAACAACGAUAUCUCCUGAAUUAUAACUCCGAAUCGAGCGCAUAAGUACUUGUUGGAAAGAUAACAUAAAGCCCUACAUGAUUCUCAUACUGAUUAACACUAAUUACUCCCGAAAAAUCCCCAGAAACUGCUAAUACUGCUGCUGUUCAUCCCCCUGAAAAUCUGUUUCUUUGGACAGCCACAUACCCGGAUUCAAACGGUGAUAACUUUCAAUUUAUAACUCCAAAUUGAGCGCAUAAAUACUCGUUGGAAAGGUAAGGUAAAGUUCUACAUGAUCCCCAAACUGAUUUCCCUUAAUUCCUCACGAAAAAAACACAGAAACUGCUAGACUACUGCUGUUCACCCACCACCUAAAAUUCUGGACAGCCCCCCUCUACCCAAUCGCAAACGCAACCUCUAAUCAAUUAAAUUGCAGCGCAAAUGAACAAGGGAUGAACACAAAAAUCACCUUGGAUUCUCCCCCUUUCCUUCCUCCCUUCUUCCCUCCACCAAAACGAUUGAAGACUCGCACCACGACGACGAUGAUCCGAGCGGCAAGGAUUGUCACCUUGGGAGGAGGGGAUUGGGGGGGGGGGGCUAGGGUUUGGUGGCUGCAAGAAUGGAGAGAGGAGGAGAUAGGCAGGGGGGCGGCGGCCAAGGGGGGAGAGAAGUGGGGGGGCGGCUGCACAUGGGGGGAGGGGGUUAGGAGGGAGGCGGCUAGGGUUUGGGAGGGUUAAUGGGCCGAAACUCCAAUUGCGGCCCAACUAACCCACGCGACAGCUCCCGACCGCAACGCAAGCGUCAAAUCAAAUAAAUUCUACUGCCCUAGUUGUGAAUGUUUUCCACAAAAUCCCAAAUCCCCAAAACAACAACCGGAUGAGGAAAAAAACAAAAAGAACAACCCCCAACUUCUCUUCUUUGCAAAUCGGGUAUCACACUCUACCCCUCUUAAAAAGAAUUCGACCUCGAAUUCUGACGCUUCUAUCGGAACAACAAAAGAAAGGUUAAUGAAUCAACAAAACUCACACAUAAAGAAAAGUUCGAGUACUUCUGCCGCAUCAGCUCCUCAAGCUCCUAGGAUUCUAAGAUACGCAGCAGACGACACUCUAGAGUCUGCUCUUGCUACACAGGAAUCGGCUCUAGCUCGAUUUGAUGGUCUGGAUUCCGCAAAUACUUCCUCAACAAAAAGACAUGGAAUACUUGGUGUACUCUGAUCACAGAUUCCGACAAUUACAUGUGCUAAGCCCAGCUGCCAACUCGGCCAAGAUAGCAGACGGUCCUAUAUACCUCGGACCAAGCUUUCCUGACACCAAAUCAAUCAUUGACAUAUGCAAGUACUUCAAGGAAUGUAUAUAUGAAUGCAAGGCAUAUAAUGUUCCUAUAGGCUAAACCAAACUUAGCCACACAAGAGCAACUUCAAGAGAGCAACUUAAUGCUUGCAUAUUUCUAGAUAGCAGCACAACGGUUAAUUGUUUUGCUCCUAAGUCACAAAAAUAUGCAUCGAAAAUUAGUAAACUAGGACUUUAUGGAAAACUUAUAAAGUCCACUAUACCCUUGGUAUUAUCAUCACAACAAGAUUUGACACUUAGAAAGGUCAAACAGUGCUAAACGUAAAUUCUGUCCAGACUUGGACAUAAUUCAACUACUCAAUUCAAAAAUCCAUAAUUGGAGUCUCAAUCAUCCAAUUUAGGAGCUCCCAGACUUUUUAGAAAGCUAGUAGAAUUGUCUAUAAUUCAUUUAUAAACAUAUCAAGUUAAUUCAAUGCAUAUUAAGGUCAAAAGACACGAGAAAGGCUCUGCUGUCCAAAUUUGGACAGAUUCAGAGAUCACACUUAAAACAGCUGUAACUUAACUUAUAGAUCUCCAAAAAAAAUUAAUCCAAAAUUUGUUGUAACGAUUAAGAAAAGUACUACAACUUAUUUAUAAUUUAUAAAUAGUUAUUCGAAGUUUAAAUUGGGCAAACCAAGGUCAGCUUCGAAAUCUGUAUAGAAUCUGCACAGAUUUCAAGACUAGACUUGAGAAAAUCAUAACUCCCAAACUACUAGACCUAUGGUCAUGAAAUUUUUACACAAGUAAGAUAAAGAAGUUGGCUACAACUUUUAUAAAUAACAUCUCUCCAGAAAAGAUGGUUUACUUCACUGAACUAGCUGCAUAACUAAAAUUGGUCAUGCAGUCCCAAUAGCAAGCAAUAGAUUUUAUCAGGUUCAUUACUCUUCUAAGAUUAAGCGUUCAUUGAAAGACUAAUAACUUUAGGUUCUUCAUUACGAGACACCUAGAACAAAUAUAAGUAUAGAAGCAAUAUGAUAACCUUUUAAAUCAUUUAAGCCUAAUCUCACAUCAUGCAAACAAGAAUCAAUUUAAGCAUGUUAUGUCUGCCCACAUAUUCAUCCAAGCACAUUCUAUACAUGAUAUCAUAACUCCCUGUAGCUAACAAAAUUUUGCAAAUAUAAACUCACUAAAAAGAUUAUAACAUUCCCUAGAACUUUUAUUAUAAUGAGUGUCUCGGAAUUGGUUUCCAAACCGAUAAAACAAUGCAACUCUUUUGUUUCAAAACUGAUAAGAUUGAAACAAUGGACAACUAAAAUUCAAAAACCUAUAACUCCUGCUAUACUCAACUUAAACUACAACGAACACGCGUUGGAAAAGUUUUGAAAAUUGUCCACGACUUUUGCAAUAAAGUUGCACCCAAAUUUAUCCUUAUAGCCCACAACUUUGCAUGACCUACAGCUAAACUCAUCCUGAGAUACUGCACAUUAGAGAUUCGACUUAUAUCCGGGCAACCACCUCUCCAAAUCUAUUUAACAGACAGUUACAAGUAAAUACCCAUUAAAAGGGUACUGAAAAUACCUACAAGUUUUGCUUAAAGAGAAUUCGCAAAUUUGUGCUCUGCAACUAUCAAAACGCGGUCGAUUUAUUGGUGAUUAUAACGACGCCUAAAGUUCAGACACAACAGUGCAACAACUUCAGAGCAACCUAACUCCAAUUAUAUGCAAUGAGAAUUAGAAACCCAUACUCUUUGAAAAGAUCAUGAAAUUACUAAAACUUUCAUAAUCCACAAAGACCAAAUUAUACCGUCUUCAAUGUCUACUCUUCCGUACAAAAUUAAAGACUCACUCUGCUAGAGACACCAACAAAGAUGUUUUAAGAAACCCAUAUCUCUCAAAUGUUUAGACCAAACAUGGUGAUUAAGCAUCCUAUGGAAAGAUGCAGAAACAUACUACAAAACAUUCUAGAUAAGUGAAGCAUGAUUCAGCCUCCAACUAAUUUAAAAUGCCUCCCGAAACCAAACAACACAUUAUCAACAAUAAUAAAAAACAAUAUAAAAUGAAACCCAAGUCAAUGGCAGGUGCCAUCAACACUAGGAUUUUCCACUACCAAACUGGGAUGCAACUCCACAAAGUCUUUAAAUAACACUCUACCAAAUAGGUUAGAACACUAAGCACAACAAUCAAUGAAUUCAACAACCUCGUUUGUUAAUGCCACUAAGGUCAAACAUCCAUGUACCGACAAUGUAUGAAACACCUGACAUACCCGUCUCUAGCUCUAUAAAACAUGGUUGUUAUUACACAAGAAUCCAACUACUAGAAGUCUCCAAAACUAUUCUGUUGACGUGAAGCAAAUGGUGCUCAUGUCAUAUAACAUCUUUUCCCCCUCUCAAAAGAGAUAAAAUUUGCAAUACUCAUAAAGCAAUGGAGGGAUAACAACAAGAAAAACCUAAUGUACUUCUUGACACAGACUCAUGCAAAAGCUUCAUAAAUAUUACUUUCAACACUAAAAUAAUAACACGAUACUAUGCUCAACAGGAGUAAUUGGACUUCAAUAAGAUAAUCCACCUAACCCAACUACUUUGAUUAACCUCACAUACAACAAUACCUCCUAUUAUUGCACUUGAACAAUUUGUACCUAGUGAUGUCAUAGGAUGAAUUCAAUGUAGUAGACAUACAUGAUCUAUCAAACCAUCAUUCAUAUAAUAAAAAUCUCCAUCUAAUGCAACAGCCACAUCAUUAUAGAGGUAGAUGACUAACAAACAUAAGCAACUUCCAGUUAAACAUUGACUUUGUUUAAGAUAAAGCGGUCCAAAUAAUAAUUCCACAAGCAUGCAUAGAGAACUGAUCAUAUAAAAAAAACUACCAUGUAUCAUCGGCGAUUAAAAACAAUAUAAAACGGGUUGUCCAUAUCGUCCGCACGACUAGCCUCCAACAAAUAAAAAUUAUGCAUAACCUUUUUGCUAUAGAAACAAACCAUAGAAGGAAAAUAUGCAUGCCUCUUCAACUAUAAUAUAGACAUAAAAUCCACUUGAAAUCACCCUAUUUAUUAUUAAAGAUAAGGUUGCACACAAUAAGAAAACCUAUCAUGUAAACAUGGUUGGACUUAUCUACCCACGUCAUCUUGCAAAUUCACUUGAGUUCUUCUAGUCUCAAGAUUUCAUAGACAGUACAACAUUGCCUUUGCUCUAUGGAGACAAACCUAUUGUACUCUAAGAUCAAGUUGGCAAGUAGCCACACUAGCCAAAAAAAAAGGUGAGGUGUAAAGCACUGCACCCAUGGAAAUAUUACAUUGAUAAGUUGGGUUGUAACCCAACAGUCAAUCAAACUCAACAACACCAUAAAACUUCAUUGUAUAGUGUUUUCACACUACACCAAGUCGGAUUAGAUCCUCUAUACACAAGCUCAAUAAACAAUCGGUCCUACAAGUACUAGAACCCAAGAAUCCUUUUGGGAAAAAAACAUCCACAGUCAAGCAUAUAGAAAUAUAUGAUGGUAAUAGCUCAGAGAUUAGUAAACAUUGCAUCCCAAACAACAUCAUGACGAUAUGUACAUAAAACAAGUACAUUAGUAGCUUCACUUGCAUAAUAAUUUCAAUAACAACCACAUAAAGAAACCAAUAUUAAAUAGAAGUAACAUUUCAUAUCAAGCAUUACGUCGUUAACGACAUACCUCAUCAAACCAUAAAGGGGUUUGGAGUAAGGAAAUUCUAGUCAUCUAUACAAUAAAAUACUAAUAUGAAAGAUAUAUGAACCCAUACCCUUCCUAUAUGUGCAAGUGUGUCAAAUUUAUCUUCAAAUUGCGUAGAAUCUAAAGCCUAUCCUCUGAUACCAACUGUAACACUCCAUGGUUCCACAAACAACCCGGAAUGCUACUGUACUACACUUCCGACGUCCAUAUAUAAAAUUUCGGCAGCAUCCCCUUUGCAAGAUUGCAUAAAAGAGGGAGCAACAGAGUAUAAACAUAUAUCAUGACUAAAACAUACUAAGUAUUAUUACUCGGCCAGCAAGGAAAGAUAAACAUACGACCUGAACUGAAUUAACCAGUGCGCACGACCAUAUAAAAAAAAUAAACAAACUUCCUUUGACAAAAAGUUUCUAAUUAAAUCAUGGCUGCGCCUGGGCAGCGUUAUUGUGAGAGUGAAAGUGGACGUGCUGCUACUCCCCUCAUUCCCAACAUGUAUCAAGUACCUGCAUUGAGUAAUGCAAGAGUGAGAUGACACAUCUCAGCAAGUAAAAUAAUAUCAAACAGUUUAACCACAUAAGAACAUUGUUUUACCACCACUUGAUUCCACAACCUUCUUAUUACGAAGGUGCAGCACGUAUACAACGUACAACGCACCUAGUUACCACACCUCGCAGGUAGAAACCACAAUAGUAACAUAGUAAUGUCACACUUCAUAUAUUUCCUCAUGAGUGCAAAUGUCUGCAAAUGCAAGGAUGACUUCUGCCUUCAUACCUCUAAGGAUAUGAAGCCGCAUCGUACCCCUCCUCGGGCAACGUACGAUGCUAAAAAUGUACCGGUACGGUCGGACCAUAAGAUCACGACAUCACUUCAAAAUGCAAGAUGGAUGAUGCGAUGUGCAUGUCAUGCCUACAACACUUCAUAUAACAUGAUUCAAAAAGACACUUCAACUUCAUCCAGAUGGGAAUCAACCACAUAUAUCAUUACCAAAUUAUGAUCAUCCACAAUAUUAGACAAUUGAGAAUUAAUACUUCCAAACAAAUAAACUUCAUCAUAGAAUUCAAUGAUUAACAUAAUUAAAACUUAUGCAUACUCAAUGACAGGGAAUAGGAUGCAAACCAAACGGUAGCAACCACCACUGUAUUUACUUGCCUUUACCGGAAGUUCGGGCAAAUCCCUAAGUACGAUCCGGAAGUCCACCACCUGCUUUUCACACCCAGCUUAGUACACCAAUUUCACAUAAUCAGGCCCAUAAGCGACGCCGCACCUACGCACAACUCAAACCCCGCCGCGGGUUACAUCUCUCCCUACACCCACCAAACUGCAGCGGCGCUGCUUAAUAAUUUCAUAACUUUAAAAUUAUGACAGCAGUGGUAACAAACAAAAACUCCAGAGGCAUCUACAUAAAAUUCCCCACAAGUUUUGUAUACAAUUUAUAAUUAAAUUCCAAUAUCUAAUUAGCCCAAAACAGUCCACAAGAUGAACCCUGUAAUCUGUUUUUCUUUGUCUUUUAGACAGCGACAUACCCAGAUUCAAACAGCGAUAUCUUUUAAAAUAUAAUUCCAAAUCAAGCGCAUAAGUACUCAUUGGAAAGAUAAGACAAAUCCCUACAUGAUUACCAUACUGGUUAACACUAAUUACCCACGAAAAAUUCCCAGAAACUGCUAAUACCACUGCUGUUCACCCACCUGAAAAAUCUGUUUUUUUUGGACAGCAACAUAACCGGAUUCAAACAACGAUAUCUCCUGAAUUAUAACUCCGAAUCGAGCGCAUAAGUACUUGUUGGAAAGAUAACAUAAAGCCCUACAUGAUUCUCAUACUGAUUAACACUAAUUACUCCCGAAAAAUCCCCAGAAACUGCUAAUACUGCUGCUGUUCAUCCCCCUGAAAAUCUGUUUCUUUGGACAGCCACAUACCCGGAUUCAAACGGUGAUAACUUUCAAUUUAUAACUCCAAAUUGAGCGCAUAAAUACUCGUUGGAAAGGUAAGGUAAAGUUCUACAUGAUCCCCAAACUGAUUUCCCUUAAUUCCUCACGAAAAAAACACAGAAACUGCUAGACUACUGCUGUUCACCCACCACCUAAAAUUCUGGACAGCCCCCCUCUACCCAAUCGCAAACGCAACCUCUAAUCAAUUAAAUUGCAGCGCAAAUGAACAAGGGAUGAACACAAAAAUCACCUUGGAUUCUCCCCCUUUCCUUCCUCCCUUCUUCCCUCCACCAAAACGAUUGAAGACUCGCACCACGACGACGAUGAUCCGAGCGGCAAGGAUUGUCACCUUGGGAGGAGGGGAUUGGGGGGG